GCCAGUGCGGAAUACGCCACCCCGUGGCCUGUGAUCCAUCAUCCAUGAUCCUACCCCUGUCUAAACUAGACUAGAGUCAGUCCAAAACAUAAAGACUCUGACCAUCCCCAGCCCAAGGCAAUGAGUGCUAAGAAGAUUGGUGUCAUGGCAGUUAAACAGUUGUAUUUGGAAAAUAUAAAUUCUUGCUGUCUUGACGCAAUAUUCUUGGAUGCUGUCCAUACUCAAGAUCCAUGAAGAUUUUAUUCCAAAUCAAAUUUGUCAUAGACCAGAUAUCCGCAACCUCCGGCCCACGGAACCACUUCCAACUUAACAACUGGACACUGAUUAUUAUCUAACAGCUGUUACUAGUUUAAGGUGUCAAACCAUCCAUAUAGUACACAUUUGACAUCAUGGCCUCCCCCUCAGAGAAACUGCAUAGCUGUCCAAAAGGUUCCCAACCCCUGACCUAGUGUUAAAAUUGGAAUUUUUAUGAGGAUGUAAUAAUUUCUUAAGUACUAGUUUGUUUUUGUUCAUAACAAGGGAAAACAUUGCUUCAUUUUUAUUUUUUAAAUAUUUUAUUAAUGGCCUUUUUCUGCUGGUGGCUAUUUGUGAGUCAACAUGCAGUUGUAGUUAUUGGUGUUGGCAGGUUGAAGUUAAGAAAUUGGUAGUCAAGAAACUUUGAGUGUCUUCAUUUGGUUUUCACUCUCCACAUUUGGUUUCAUACUAAUAUCUUCUAACUUAAUUCACCAGUCUUCUUUGGUGAAGGCCAAUGACAAAUACAAAAAAAGCAGAAACAUAAUGAAACGACUCCACACAAUGAUCCGGUAUUUACAACAUAUUUACAUAUUUACAACAUAUACCUGGAGGUAUCAAAGACUGAUUAGGCGUUAAGUUGCAUUGCCUAGUAUAUUUGUCAACUACUGUUGUCAUGUGUGGGGAUAGUAUUAAUUAAUCAUAAUAAUAGUAUACUAGUAGUUUCAUUGUUAAAUUGAAACCUUGUAAAGUUAAUUGAACAAAGGAGAUUACAAGUUUUACAACUUUUUUACAACUUCUCUUGUGUAUUACAGAUUCAUGGAUUCUUUCCAUACUCAAGAUCCAUGAAGACGUUAUUCCAAAUCAAAUUUGUCGGACCAGAUAUCUGCAAUCUCUGGCCCAUGGAACCACUUCCAGCUUGCCAUCAUAACACCUGGACAUUGA